CUCCCGGGUAACCUACCACCCUUUGUUUAUUACACUUUGUAGCUUUGGCAGGCCUGCCCUCGGGCUGCUGGCUCCGGCCGGCGAGCGCUUGCCAGAGGACUAAACUCUGUUUGUCCAUACUGUCUGAGUACUAUAUAAUAGUUAAAACUUUCAACAACGGAUCUCUUGGUUCUGGCAUCGAUGAAGAACGCAGCGAAAUGCGAUAAGUAAUGUGAAUUGCAGAAUUCAGUGAAUCAUCGAAUCUUUGAACGCACAUUGCGCCCCCUGGUAUUCCGGGGGGCAUGCCUGUCCGAGCGUCAUUACAACCCUCAAGCUCAGCUUGGUAUUGGGCCCCGCCGACCCGGCGGGCCCUAAAGUCAGUGGCGGUGCCGUCCGGCUCCGAGCGUAGUAAUUCUUCUCGCUCCGGAGGUCCGGUCGUGUGCUUGCCAG
rnacentral:misc_RNA from 1 species